GUGCAAUUUUUGGAUAAUCGCGUGGUGUUUAGAUACCAUGAGGAAAGUCCAUGCUAGCACUGGCUGUGAUGCCGGUAGUGUUUGUGCUAGGCGAAAAAAUAAGCCUAGGGAGGUAGCGAUACCUUACGGCGAUCAAAAGAGCUAAGUCUUUGAUAUGCUCAAGUAGAUCUGAAAAGUGCCACAGUGACGUAGUUUUUAGGGAAACCUAAAAAGUGGAACGCGGUAAACCCCUCAAGCUAGCAACCCAAACUUUGGUAGGGGCAUGGGAUAGUUGGAAACGAACGAUCUAUCCUGACUGCUUUUGCAGUAGACAGAUGAUUAUCGAAGGUGGCAAGACCUAGUUGCCGCCGGAACAAAACAUGGCUUAUAGAA
rnacentral:RNase_P_RNA from 1 species